GCGUCGGUGGUGGAGUGGUCUAUCACAACAGACUGUAAAUCUGUCGGCUUCGGCCUUCGUUGGUUCGAAUCCAACCCGGCGCA
rnacentral:tRNA from 1 species